CAGCAUUGUCUUAUAUAAGAGGAGACUUUACCAAGAUUGGGGAGAGGGGAUUUCUGGGAUAUCUUUACCAAUGGACAGGAGGUUCGGUUCUGAGCCUCGGACUGGAAGCAGCUCUUUUCCUGAUCUCGGGAUUUGAAUCUCACCAUUCUCCCUAAGGAUUCUCCAUAUUGAACUCAACACCCAUAUUGACUGAGAACUGUUCCUGAUCUCUGCCAUAUCAAGAUCUGAGCGGACUGACUGGACAUUUCAUCUUUGCCCAAGAGGGAUUUUCCCUGGAGCGCAGGCUGUGUCAGUCCUGAAAGCAGAAACAUCUUCCUCCGUGUCAGCUUAUCUUAAAGACUUAUGUUACUACUUUAACGUUAGUUCAAGAUCGCCAGCAUAAGAGAAUAUUAAGAAUAGAUAAGGUUUUCAAACUGGUCUCUGCUGUUCACCAGUCAGGAACUCGCUUCCACACUGGACAUUUAGCGUAGGGACUUCUAUUUAACCACUUACCUGACCCCAUCAUAAGUUUCCGAUCCCAAAUAAAAGGAGUUUGUUUAUUCAAAAACAGUCAGAUCUUUUAAGAGAAGAAAGGAGAUCGGAAGGCGGAGCUUUGGUCCAGGUGGGAGGUCUCUAUUUAGAGUCAGGUAAAGAAAACUAGACCUAGAGAAGUUAAAAGAUUCAUCCAUGAAUAGACAACUAAGAAGCAGAAGAGCCAUGAAUUGUGCUGAAUUGGAUUGGAUUGAUCUGAACUUUCUCAUUGAAAUGAAGACAUCAAAUACAUGAAAAAAAUAACAAGUAAUAGGCGAUCAGCAGAGCCAUUAGGAAAUGGUAAACCUGAUACGACAGCAGCUGCCUCCAUGGCAGCACAGCUAACAACAGAUUUAUGCAUGGAGGAAGAAUUUAUGAACAAUUAAGAGAAAGAAGAUUUUGUGAAAUGUAAAACAGAUAAUUUUGAAUAUAUUAAAUUUAAAAGGUUUUGUACAAAUAAAGCUAAUGUAUCCAAGAUUAAAAAGAAAAUG
rnacentral:lncRNA from 1 species